GACGAACGCUGGCGGCGUGCUUAACACAUGCAAGUCGAACGGAAAGGCCCUGCUUUUGUGGGGUGCUCGAGUGGCGAACGGGUGAGUAACACGUGAGUAACCUGCCCUUGACUUUGGGAUAACUUCAGGAAACUGGGGCUAAUACCGGAUAGGAGCUCCUGCUGCAUGGUGGGGGUUGGAAAGUUUCGGCGGUUGGGGAUGGACGCGCGGCUUAUCAGCUUGUUGGUGGGGUAGUGGCUUACCAAGGCUUUGACGGGUAGGCGGCCUGUGAGGGUGAACGGCCACAAUAGGACUGAGGUACGGCGCAGACUCCAACGGGAGGCAGCGGUGGGGAAUAUUGCACAAUGGGAGGAAGUCUGAUGCGGCAGCGCCGCGUGCGGGAUGACGGCCUUCGGGUUGUAAACCGCUUUCGCCUGUGACGCAGCGUGAGUGACGGUAAUGGGUAAAGAAGCACCGGCUAACUACGUG
rnacentral:rRNA from 1 species